rnacentral:rRNA from 1 species
GUAGGGUGCGAGCGUUAAUCGGAAUUACUGGGCGUAAAGCGAGUGCAGACGGUUACUUAAGCCAGAUGUGAAAUCCCCAAGCUUAACUUGGGACGUGCAUUUGGAACUGGGUGACUAGAGUGUGUCAGAGGGAGGUAGAAUUCCACAUGUAGCGGUGGAAUGCGUAGAGAUGUGGAGGAAUACCGAUGGCGAAGGCAGCCUCCUGGGAUAACACUGACGUUGAGGCUCGAAAGCGUGGGGAGCAAACAGGAUUAGAUACCCUGGUAGUCCACGCCCUAAACGAUGACAAUUAGCUGUUGGGCUUUGAAAGGCUUAGUAGCGAAGCUAACGCGAGAAAUUGUCCGCCUGGGGAGUACGGUCGCAAGAUUA